CUCCGAUCCUUCGCCCCGGUUCGGCCUCUCCCGGCGCCUCGGGUCAUGCCCACGAGACCACGAGCUACGCGCCGCAGACGGCAGGUGCGCUCUCCCGUCUCCUCGUCUUCCCGAGCUGCCUCACCGGCCACCGCAUCCUUCUCCUCGCGGCGACCUGGCUGUUCCCUCGCGUGCGCCCGCGUUGUUCAACUCGUCUAUUUUUGUUGUUGUUGUUACAAUCACUUGAUCGUGAUGUCGUGGUUAGGGUUCCGGAGCCAAUGUAUGCUGCUGAGGCGGCAGGACUCUAGCAGCUCUCCUAUCUCAUACCCUAUUCCAAACAACACUCUGUAAAAAGUGUAAUGUGACGCCCGACGCGCCUGGAUGCCGAAUCGCCUGGAUCGAGACGAGUCUGGGAUGAGCACGGCGGCGCCUCCUCCUGGCCAGCGGUGAGCGUCCGUGCUGUGAGGAAGACGUCGGCAACAUGAUGAAGGCAUGACGCUCAACAGGAGACUCAAAGAUAAGUCUGGUUUGUGUUGGUAUUAUUUCAUUUCCUCUCCUCUUCUGAUAGUGUUUUAUACGCUCCUAAUCUGGGCCUAAGUACCAGAUCUAUUACAAAGCUGUUAACCCUAAUCUGGGCCAGCCCACAAUCACCAUGUAAAAUCGCUAAGAAUUCAAACCAAUCCAAGUACACAAAUGAAACAAAGCUCAUUACUACUAUUUCCUACUGAUGCACACCCUGAUCCAUGACAUGUAAUGACAGGCCAAGGGCCUGCUUGAAUGCGCUGCACCUAUUAGCGCCUGGCGCGGUAGCAAUUAGUUAAUUACUAGCCACACAUUGCUUCCAUUUGCUCCUCCGUGGCUGCUGAUUGCAGAAGCACACUUUUGCAGUUCCAUGCGGACUGUCCUUGUUGUCAUAUCAUAUCCCAAUUGACGAUCUAAUAUUACAUAGAACGCCGUUAUGAACCCUAGAGAACUUCAGCUUUUGUGUAGCGGGACUGCAAACAACAUAUGUUUUGCCACCGCUACCAAUUCCUUAUGCUUUACAUUCGAUCCCUAACUCUGCGCAUGCAACUUUGUAACUUACAGUCACACGAUGGCAAAACAGCAUCAUCUGCAUCCAUGCAUGGGUCGUUCGUCGUCGUCACUGCCUCUCCUGCUGGUUCCACUCGAGUAUUGCCGAACGAAGGGCCCUGUUCG
rnacentral:lncRNA from 1 species